UCAGUGCCGUCGUGACCGUGGUGAGGAGAGGCUGCGCGCCGCGUCGCUCCGGCUCGCUCGCUCGCUUUCGUCAACUUAAAAACUCCUCUUUAUUUUUUUCUACGGACCAAUCUGCUGCUGAGACGAACUUACGAAAAGAUUGUUGUAGAAAAACAAACAAACUUAUUAUUGGUUUGUUCUCACUGGAGAAUGAUUACCAUUUUUACGUAAAGAAAAUGAUAAGUUAUUUAGUAGUAUUUUUUACCAUCACUUUCGAAUAACGACUGACGAGCCAAUCGCAGUUUUACAAUGAAUAUGUGACCAGGAAAGCAAGAUUCAUAGAAUACGAACAAAACAUAUUUUAAGGAAAUAAGAAAAAAAA